rnacentral:ncRNA from 1 species
UCGAUGGCCCGAGGUAGAGCACUCAAUGGGCUAGGGUGGCCCCCAUUUCGCUUUACCAACCCCAGGGAAACUCCGAAUACAGGCCGUCAUCCUUAGUACAGACAGACUGAUUGGGUGCUAAGAUCCAAAGUCGAGAGGGAAACAGCCCAGAUCGUCCGCUAAGGUCCCUAAGCAAUCACUUAGUGGAAAAGGAAGUGAUCGAGCGAUGACAACCAGGAGGUGGGCUUGGAAGCAGCCAUCCUUUGAAGAAAGCGUAAUAGCUCACUGGUCUAGCUCCAUGGCACCGAAAAUGUCUCAGGGCUCAAGUGAUUCACCG